rnacentral:rRNA from 1 species
GGUUAAGCGACUAAGCGUACACGGUGGAUGCCCUGGCAGUCAGAGGCGAUGAAGGACGUGCUAAUCUGCGAUAAGCGUCGGUAAGGUGAUAUGAACCGUUAUAACCGGCGAUUUCCGAAUGGGGAAACCCAGUGUGUUUCGACACACUAUCAUUAACUGAAUCCAUAGGUUAAUGAGGCGAACCGGGGGAACUGAAACAUCUAAGUACCCCGAGGAAAAGAAAUCAACCGAGAUUCCCCCAGUAGCGGCGAGCGAACGGGGAGCAGCCCAGAGCCUGAAUCAGUGUGUGUGUUAGUGGAAGCGUCUGGAAAGGCGCGCGAUACAGGGUGACAGCCCCGUACACAAAAAUGCACAUGCUGUGAGCUCGAUGAGUAGGGCGGGACACGUGGUAUCCUGUCUGAAUAUGGGGGGACCAUCCUCCAAGGCUAAAUACUCCUGACUGACCGAUAGUGAACCAGUACCGUGAGGGAAAGGCGAAAAGAACCCCGGCGAGGGGAGUGAAAAAGAACCUGAAACCGUGUACGUACAAGCAGUGGGAGCACGCUUAGGCGUGUGACUGCGUACCUUUUGUAUAAUGGGUCAGCGACUUAUAUUCUGUAGCAAGGUUAACCGAAUAGGGGAGCCGAAGGGAAACCGAGUCUUAACUGGGCGUUAAGUUGCAGGGUAUAGACCCGAAACCCGGUGAUCUAGCCAUGGGCAGGUUGAAGGUUGGGUAACACUAACUGGAGGACCGAACCGACUAAUGUUGAAAAAUUAGCGGAUGACUUGUGGCUGGGGGUGAAAGGCCAAUCAAACCGGGAGAUAGCUGGUUCUCCCCGAAAGCUAUUUAGGUAGCGCCUCGUGAAUUCAUCUCCGGGGGUAGAGCACUGUUUCGGCAAGGGGGCCAUCCCGACUUACCAACCCGAUGCAAACUGCGAAUACCGGAGAAUGUUAUCACGGGAGACACACGGCGGGUGCUAACGUCCGUCGUGAAGAGGGAAACAACCCAGACCGCCAGCUAAGGUCCCAAAGUCAUGGUUAAGUGGGAAACGAUGUGGGAAGGCCCAGACAGCCAGGAUGUUGGCUUAGAAGCAGCCAUCAUUUAAAGAAAGCGUAAUAGCUCACUGGUCGAGUCGGCCUGCGCGGAAGAUGUAACGGGGCUAAACCAUGCACCGAAGCUGCGGCAGCGACGCUGAUGCGUUGUUGGGUAGGGGAGCGUUCUGUAAGCCUGCGAAGGUGUGCUGUGAGGCAUGCUGGAGGUAUCAGAAGUGCGAAUGCUGACAUAAGUAACGAUAAAGCGGGUGAAAAGCCCGCUCGCCGGAAGACCAAGGGUUCCUGUCCAACGUUAAUCGGGGCAGGGUGAGUCGACCCCUAAGGCGAGGCCGAAAGGCGUAGUCGAUGGGAAACAGGUUAAUAUUCCUGUACUUGGUGUUACUGCGAAGGGGGGACGGAGAAGGCUAUGUUGGCCGGGCGACGGUUGUCCCGGUUUAAGCGUGUAGGCUGGUUUUCCAGGCAAAUCCGGAAAAUCAAGGCUGAGGCGUGAUGACGAGGCACUACGGUGCUGAAGCAACAAAUGCCCUGCUUCCAGGAAAAGCCUCUAAGCAUCAGGUAACAUCAAAUCGUACCCCAAACCGACACAGGUGGUCAGGUAGAGAAUACCAAGGCGCUUGAGAGAACUCGGGUGAAGGAACUAGGCAAAAUGGUGCCGUAACUUCGGGAGAAGGCACGCUGAUAUGUAGGUGAGGUCCCUCGCGGAUGGAGCUGAAAUCAGUCGAAGAUACCAGCUGGCUGCAACUGUUUAUUAAAAACACAGCACUGUGCAAACACGAAAGUGGACGUAUACGGUGUGACGCCUGCCCGGUGCCGGAAGGUUAAUUGAUGGGGUUAGCGCAAGCGAAGCUCUUGAUCGAAGCCCCGGUAAACGGCGGCCGUAACUAUAACGGUCCUAAGGUAGCGAAAUUCCUUGUCGGGUAAGUUCCGACCUGCACGAAUGGCGUAAUGAUGGCCAGGCUGUCUCCACCCGAGACUCAGUGAAAUUGAACUCGCUGUGAAGAUGCAGUGUACCCGCGGCAAGACGGAAAGACCCCGUGAACCUUUACUAUAGCUUGACACUGAACAUUGAGCCUUGAUGUGUAGGAUAGGUGGGAGGCUUAGAAGUGUGGACGCCAGUCUGCAUGGAGCCGACCUUGAAAUACCACCCUUUAAUGUUUGAUGUUCUAACGUUGACCCGUAAUCCGGGUUGCGGACAGUGUCUGGUGGGUAGUUUGACUGGGGCGGUCUCCUCCUAAAGAGUAACGGAGGAGCACGAAGGUUGGCUAAUCCUGGUCGGACAUCAGGAGGUUAGUGCAAUGGCAUAAGCCAGCUUGACUGCGAGCGUGACGGCGCGAGCAGGUGCGAAAGCAGGUCAUAGUGAUCCGGUGGUUCUGAAUGGAAGGGCCAUCGCUCAACGGAUAAAAGGUACUCCGGGGAUAACAGGCUGAUACCGCCCAAGAGUUCAUAUCGACGGCGGUGUUUGGCACCUCGAUGUCGGCUCAUCACAUCCUGGGGCUGAAGUAGGUCCCAAGGGUAUGGCUGUUCGCCAUUUAAAGUGGUACGCGAGCUGGGUUUAGAACGUCGUGAGACAGUUCGGUCCCUAUCUGCCGUGGGCGCUGGAGAACUGAGGGGGGCUGCUCCUAGUACGAGAGGACCGGAGUGGACGCAUCACUGGUGUUCGGGUUGUCAUGCCAAUGGCACUGCCCGGUAGCUAAAUGCGGAAGAGAUAAGUGCUGAAAGCAUCUAAGCACGAAACUUGCCCCGAGAUGAGUUCUCCCUGACUCCUUGAGAGUCCUGAAGGAACGUUGAAGACGACGACGUUGAUAGGCCGGGUGUGUAAGCGCAGCGAUGCGUUGAGCUAACCGGUACUAAUGAACCGUGAGGCUUAACCUU